rnacentral:lncRNA from 1 species
GGGGACCCCCAGGGGCCACACCUGACUCUUGGUGUGUUGUUCUUGUUUAUGACUAGCUCACUGUCAUCGGGGGGUAGAGUGUGGAUGUUGGUGGGGACGACCCCGUGAGGAGGAAUCGAGCGGUGCUGGACACACGGGAGACGCGGGACUCAGGGGCCAAGAGACUUUGCUGUUUGACCUUCUCUCCGAGUUUCUCACCCUCACGCUAUUGAUUUGCGGUGUGGGUAACUCGGCUGUAGGGCCUUCCUGUGCCUUGUGGGACGCUUCCCAGCAACCCUGGCCUCUCCUCACUAGAUGCCAGGCGCUCCCGCCUCCCUCCCAUGUCCUAAAAAGCCGAAGAUGUCUGUAGGUGCUGCCAGAUAUCCCUUGGGCAGAGGGCAAACCAACCCCCAGUUGAGAAGCCCUGCUUUACACCCUUCUCCACAGUUUAGGUGUUCCCCCCGCCCCAAGAAGAGAGUAUUUAUACCAUUCUAUAAUGGAGCCAGAGAAAGUGUUGAUGGAACCAGAAUGCUGACGUGAACCCCUGCUUCAGUGAUGCCCGUUAAUGUACCAGGCCCUACUCUGGACACUUGGUCUGUGUGCGGUAAUUCAUUCCUCCAAGAAUUCCAUAAGCUACAAAAAAAAAAAAAAGGAGUGGCUCAGCGGUAAUGAACCCUACUAGUAUCCAUGAGGAUGCAGGUUCGAUUCCUGGCCUCACUCAGUGGGUUAAAGAUCCUGAGUUGCCGGCGCUGUGGCUCUGAUUCGACCCCUAGCCUGGGAACCUCCAUAAGCUGUGAGUGCAGCCCUUAAAAAACGAAGAGAGAAUUUUGUACUGGUUUCCUAGGGUUGCCUUAACCACGUGCCACCAGCCAGGUGGCUUAAAAGCAGAGCAGUGGGUACCGUUACCGUUUUGGGGCCAGACGUCUGAAAUGGAGGCGUUGGCAGGGUUGGUUCCUCUGGCCUCUGAGUGAGCACUGGUGCCAAGCUCUGUCCCUGCUUCCGCCGGGACAGCGUCCCUGGGCUCAUGGUAGCUUAACUCUCUCCUCUGUUUCCAGCUUCACGCCACCAUGUUCCCCCUGAGUUUGUGUAGCCUCUCUUCUCGUAAGGCCACUGUCUCUGGAUUUAGGCCCACAGCAUCCAGUCUGAGCUUGUUUUCACUUACCUAUUUCCAAAUGUAGUCUGAGCUUCCAGGUGGACUUAAAUUUUGCGGAGAUACUCUUUAACCCAGUACAAGCGGGUAUGACUCUUACAGCUGUGGACACUGGCAUAGAGGGGUGAUGUGACCACUUAAGUCACAGAUGACCAGGGGGCAGAGCUGAGGAUGAAACCAGGCCCAUGGUCCCCCAGUCCAAGCUUAUAACCGUUGCACUGGUGGUUCUCAAAGUGUGGUCUGCAGCUAGCAGCAUCAGGCUAAGCCGGGAGCCCAUGGCACCCUCACCUCUGCGGGCUCCCUCCAGACCCCCUGGAGCAGGAACUCUGGGAGUGGAAUCCAGACGUCUUGGCUUAACAAGCCCUCCGGGGGCUCCUGAUACACCCUAAAGUUUGGAAAGCUGGGUGGAAAGUGCAAUGUAAGAGAAAUAGCUUUUAAGACAUCAUUUCAGUCACUUAUCAAAUGUGUCUUGAGUGCACUGAGCAAGCACAGAACACGUCGCCAACUCCGAGAGCCUGCGCAGGACAGUCCUCUUGAUGUGUCUUCAGGGUGUUUGUUGUCGUUGUUGUCGUCGUCUCUUAGUUCACCGAUGCCCAGAAGCAUUAGCCAAAUCAUGAUGCCCCCAUCUUUGCCUGCAGGAAGGUAGAAAGCAUCCCGUCACAAACAGAUUGAGGAAAGUACCCCCGUUUGUGCCCAUCUCUGUGCGUGUUUGGACGCACAGCCUGACUCUUCUUAGACGUUCAUUUCAGGAGAGCAGAGCUCCAGGCCCCCAGCCCCCUUUCGUCGGCUGCCCGCGCACCCCCAGGCCCUUCCCCACCGGGACCUCAAAGCUCUUUCCCUGCAGGUAAUGGACUGCAGUCAUUUUCGGCUCGUCGGUGCUUUGUUCAUUGCUUCUCAUUUCUUCUUCUUUCACCUCAAAGCCAGCCCAUCCUCACUCACUGGUGACACCAGAGGUCAUUAUCUUCUCUCUGCAAGCGUUUUCUCUUUUUAUUAAGCUUUUACUAUCAUCGGUUUCAGAAGGCUUUCCCCCUCACCUGUUGAUUCUUUCUUUCUUUCUUUCUUUUUCUUUUUUUCUGUCUUUUUGGUCUUUUUAGGCCUGGGACCCUCCAUAUGCCACAGGUGCCCCCCCCCCCAAAAAAAAAAGAUCCAUUUCAUAGAAAUUGCCAAAUGGUCCUUGAAAACAGUGGCACCAGAGUUCCCGUCAUGGCUCAGUGGAGCAAAUCCGACUAGCAUCCAUGAGCACACAGGUUCGAUCCCUGGCCUUCCUCAGUGGGUUAAGGAUCCAGCUCUGAUUUGACCUAGACCGAAUGCCAUCAACAGGCCCCACACGUCAGCAGUCAGUGCCCCAAUGUAAGAAUUUUAUGUUGUUGUCAUAUUAUAAGGUUCUUAUGAAGCCACAGCUUCCUAAUACCGUGUAGCCACUCCCUGAGCUGGGCAUUCUUUUCCUUCCCUUUCAAUACAUCACAUUGAUUUUCUGUAUGACUUUAUCUGCUUAAUACAAAGUGGGAUUGAACAGUGAUUUGUCUGGAUCUGACCAUUCCUUAUCAAACAUUUAUGAUUUAGCUUUCGCCAUGGUGUCUUCUUGUAAGGUGUUGCUUAUUUUUAUCUUUUUCCGUAAAGGUGGGAUUGUGUUGACAGCCCUGUAAUAAAUCUCUCUUGAAAGUGACGUGUGGGAGAGGGCAGGGAGAGAUGGGGACCGUUUGAGGGGAAGCUUUAAGAAAGGGCCGUGCGAAUUCUUUCUGGACCGAAGUCCUGUUUUAAUAGCAGUGAUUGAUGUCCUCACUUGGGGCGUUGCCAUAUAUGAGGAUCGGGUGCUUCUCAGGACGCACGGAUGGCUAACCCUCUGAUGGUGAUGGGUCCAGUACGUGCGUGAGGUUGGUAGAGCCCAGGGCCAAAUCUUAGAAGCACCUGCCUCACGUAGCGUGAUGUCAGGGACAUGGCAGGGUCACCAGCUUUCACGGAGCGUCUCGGUUGGAAUGUCACCUGCAGACAUGAGACUGGGAAAUGACAGAAUGCAGUGAGGCUUGCGUAUUUUUCUCUCAUUCUGUUUCCUUAUUGAGAGCAUUUUCAAGGUUCCCAUAGAGAAGCGGGAAUUGGUAUAUUUCCCUCAGUUCUAGAAAACUUGAUGAGCGCCUACUGUGUGUCGAGCAUCAUGUCCUUGGAGCCAUCUGCCAGGACACAGGGAUGAAUAGCGCAGUAGGGCAGCAGGGAGCCAGUAGCCUGACCGUUGUGGGCUUGCACCCCAGCGCAUCACUGUUGGGUGACGUAGGGCAAUACUUUUUAACCUGAAACAGCACCCUUUGUCCCAUCACCAUUCCCGUGGAUGAACUAUCUGGAUAGGGUUCAGCAUCUCUCUCAGGGUGCAAUCGAGGAGCCGGUGUCUUCAACUGGGGCUGGACCAGGGUGACUCACACUUAAUCACACUUCAGGUUCUUGCCCAGGGCUUGGGUUUUGGCUGGUGUUGGGCUGAGGGCCUCAGUUCCUUUUUUGGCUGUUGCCUUUGGGGCUGUUUAAAGGGCAGCUCACAGCACGGCAGCUGCCUCCCAUCUGAGCAAGCCAACAAAAGAGCGAGAGGUGGCGAGUGAGGCCGACGUCAGUCUCAGGUGAACUUCAUCUCAGAAGUGAAGAGUCCAUCAUUUUAUUUAUUUAUUUGUAUCGAGACAUCAGUCAAUGCUCUACUCUUCUCCCCUUCAAAGUAUAUGAUUAAGGAGUCCCCUGAUGGUGCAGAGGGUGAAGGAUCUGGCGUUGUUACUGCUGUGGUUUGGGUCGCUGCUGUGGCACAGGUUUCGUCCCUGGCCUGGAAACUUCCUCAUGUUGCAGGCAUGGCCAAAAAAAAAUAUACGAUCCAGUAUUUUUUAGUAUAUUUUCAGAGUCGUACAACCAUCACCACUACCAAAUUAGCAUUUGUCAUCACCCCCCCACCGCAAACCCUGUACCCGUUAGAAACCACUGCCCAUUCCCUGGCCUCCGCUACUGGCAACCACUAAUCUGCUUUCUGUUUCUGUGGAUUUGGACAGUUCAGGUAAGUGGAAUCAUACAAUAAGUGGCCUUUUGCAAUUGGCUUCUUUUACUUAGCAUAGUGUUUUCAAGAUCCAUCGAUGUUGUAGCAGGCAUGCCUCGUUAUCUUAUUCCUCUUUACAGCCAAAUAACAUGCCGCUUGAUGCAAGUGUCCCGUGUGGUUUAUCCACCCCCCAGUUGGUGGGCAUUUGGUACAUUUCUUCUUUUGGGCUCUUAGGAAUCGUGCUGCCGUGGGCUCUCAUGCACACAUUUUUUUGUGAAGGCGUGUUUUCCUUCUCCUGGGUGUGUAUCUAAGAGUGGAGUUGCCACAUCGUAAGGCAACUCUUUGUUUAACUUGAAAAAGGAUUUUUUUUUUUUUUUGGCCACAUCCAUGGCGUGCAGAAGUUCACUGGCCCAGGAUCAAACCUGAGCCACGGCAGCAACCCGAGUUACAGCAGUGACAGUGCUGAGUCCUUAGCUGCUAGGCCACCAGGAAACUCCUCUUCGUUGAACUUUUGAAGAACUGCCAGACUGUUGUCCGAGGUUCCUGGCAUCAUCUUCUGUUCCCGCCAGCCGUGCUGGAGGGUUCCAGUAUCUCCAUAGCCUCCCCAACACCUGUUGUUGCCCUUUUCCUCGCAUCUCCUAGCAGGGGUGAGGAGGUGCGAGUAUUUUCUUGAUCCUCAGCUGCCGCCUCUGCGACGUGGGACAGUUUCAUGUUACGGUUUUCAGGUGUAAGAAAGUCGAGGCGGGUCCGAGUUUCUGGUCUGAACCCUGAGGCAUCAUGGUGUGCAGGAACAGACCCAGGUCCCCGUCGUCCCCGCCCUGCGCCCCAGGAAGUCUUCUGUGUGGGGCCCUGAGCCCCGGGUUUGCUUAGGCGUGUUUAUUUCUACUUUAUGGUGCAGCAGGCACCCCGAGCAUGUGUGUUCUUAUGUUGCAGAAACACUGAUGGGAACGCUUUGGUUGGGAAAGGCCUUGGUUCCUCCUGGAGUCACUGUAGACCCGGCCCAGCUCUGUGACCUUGAAGCUCUUCUAAGGAGCGCAGCCCUGCUUUCCCAGACGCGGUGCGUCCUCCAGUGCCGCAUGGCUGGACGGCCCCAUUUCAGUUCCGCAGCCAUAAUCAACCCCACUUGACACAUGGAGGCCUCACCAUGCUUGCUGACCUGGCUGUGGCGACAGCAGCCCCGUGGAAACCCUGUAUUCUGUAGGGACUCCCCUGUUGGAAAGGAAAUUCUCUUUGUGGCCCCGUGUGGGUUUACAAAACAGCUGUGUCUGUCAGUUCCCUUACUUGCUUUGAUCUGCUGAUGACACUUGUCUGAGGUUGGCUUAUUUUCUUGCCUGUUUACCUAACGGCCCAUUUCUGCCCUCAUCCUCAGGUAGGGCUCCGAAAUCAAAGAUUUUCUUCCCCCAUUUAUUGCUAUGACCUCAGUCCCUCGGGCAGUUCGUGGCCCAGGGGCACCUUGACAAAGGAAGGGGAAGCGGGGGAGACCCCCCACCAGGAAUCCCAUUGCAGAGUGAGGAGGCCUGUCUCCGGUUCCUCAACAGCUCAGCUCCCCGCUGCCUGGCACUUGGCUGUGUUCGUUUGUUUAGCAAACUUACUGAGUGUAGACUCCCCCUAACACUCGGAGGUCACCCCACCUGCCUGCCUUUGGAUCCCCGGUCUUAGAGGUCACCCCACCUGCCCGCCUUUGCAUCCCUGGUCUUCAUGUGUUAACUGUACCCCUGGGGCGUCCCUGACCUCCGAGCAGCUCACUUCCUCCCAUCCCUAGAAUGAAUGUGAUAAUGCUGAUUUCCUCGUGGACUCGUGAGGACUCAGUGAAUUAGAGCAUCACAGCCUCACAGAACAAGGGAUAAGUAAAUAGCCACCAGAGCCAUAAUAGUAACACUUAAUGUUAUUUUUUAUUAUGUGCCUUUCGUUUUGCUGCUGUUUUCUACUAGGUGUCAGGCAUCGUUGCAGUGUCUGGAGAUGCUCAGUUAUAGUAGACGAAAUUGUAUCCAUCAUGGAACUCGCAUUGAAGCGUAGGGGGAAACUAGCACACUAGAUCAUUUGCCAUGAAAAUGAAGCAGGCAGGGGAGCUGCCUGGUGGCCUAGGAUUCAGCCCUUUCACCACUGUGCCCUGGGUUCAGUCCUUGGUCUGGGAACUGAGAUCCAACGUCAAGCUAGUACAUGUUAUGGCAAAAAAAAA